rnacentral:rRNA from 1 species
GUGCCAGCAGCCGCGGUAAGACAGAGGGUGCAAACGUUGCUCGGAAUUACUGGGCGUAAAGCGCGUGUAGGUGGACCAGCAAGUCAGGCGUGAAAUCCCUAGGCUCAACCUAGGAACUGCACCUGAAACUUCUGGUCUUGAGUGGUGGAGAGGAAAGCAGAAUUCCUGGUGUAGAGGUGAAAUUCGUAGAUAUCAGGAGGAACACCGGUGGCGAAGGCGGCUUUCUGGACACUUACUGACACUGAGACGCGAAAGCGUGGGGAGCAAACAGGAUUAGAUACCCCGGUAGUCC